AAACUCAUGAGAUUAUCCACGCACAUCCGGAUAUUGUCUGGCCGAUUCUGUAGGAGCUGUUUCGUCACGCGGUGAGCGCAAUGGUUCUUCCCGGAAAAUUUCGAUGCUCCCUUUUUGGCGGCCAUUAUUCAGGUUCUGUAUAACACAAUUGGAUCCUCAUACGCUCGAGAUUAUUAAUACUUCAAACGAGCAACUAUAGGAAGACAAGGAGUCACGUUGAAGGUUUUGGAGGUUAAAUGGCGACAAUUGUCGAACGCGGGCACACGGAUUAUAAAACCAAAAAGAAAUUCAAGAUGGAGCCCAGGGCACAGGAUAAAUCUGUAAAAAGUCUCACCCUACGUCCCACGACAAAAACCAAGCUAUCCGUCUUUUGUCCGCGAAAACAAGCAGAGACGAUAGACAGAGCCUUCGGGAUAAGAAGAAAAUGACGAGGAAAGAGUGGUGAUUAAUUAUCCCACGGGAAGGGAUCCUUUAAGUAGAGGAUCCCAUCGAUUUUCCUUGAAUUAAUAGAGAAUUAUGGUAAAGCGAAAUACGGAGGGAAAAACAAAUUACAAAGAGGAAGGAUAAGUAUCCGGACCGCUUUGCGUACCUCAUAGGCCCCAAUACAACGGAAGGAGUGGGUGGAGAGAGGGGGAUUGUGAGGCAGACUGGAAGAUGUUACGACGCUGUAAUCCGUAUAGAAGGGG